GAUGAAGAACGCAGCGAAAUGCGAUAAGUAAUGUGAAUUGCAGAAUUCAGUGAAUCAUCGAAUCUUUGAACGCACAUUGCGCCCCCUGGUAUUCCGGGGGGCAUGCCUGUUCGAGCGUCAUUUCACCACUCAAGCCUCGCUUGGUAUUGGGCAACGCGGUCCGCCGCGUGCCUCAAAUCGACCGGCUGGGUCUUCUGUCCCCUAAGCGUUGUGGAAACUAUUCGCUAAAGGGUGUUCGGGAGGCUACGCCGUAAAACAACCCCAUUUCUACGGUUGACCUCGGAUCAGGUAGGGAUACCCGCUGAACUUAAGCAUAUCAAUAAGCGGAGGA
rnacentral:misc_RNA from 1 species